rnacentral:miRNA from 1 species
UAAAAUUUGCAUUCAGAA